rnacentral:rRNA from 1 species
UACGGAGGGUGCAAGCGUUGUUCGGAAUCACUGGGCGUAAAGCGCGUGUAGGCGGCUAUCUAAGUCUGAUGUGAAAGCCCUGGGCUCAACUCAGGAAGUGCAUUGGAUACUGGAUAGCUGGAGUACCGGAGAGGAGGGUGGAAUUCCUGGUGUAGCGGUGAAAUGCGUAGAUAUCAGGAGGAACACCGGUGGCGAAGGCGGUUGCCUGGGGCUGUGCUGACGCUGAUGCGCGAAAGCGUGGGGAGCGAUCCGG